CGAAGGAGGUUUCACUCACAUCAGUGAUUGCAGGUUCCCAACUGCGGUAAACAUCCGCUGGUCUACUUUUCUCUUCCAGGCCUCGCUCGCCUGCUGGCGGGAUGUUUCAAGAAAGUAAGUAGAUGAUUUCUAAGAUUGCUUCUAGCUUUGCUCUUUUGAAAAGUUGAUGUGCAUACUUAAGUUUUCUAGAAAGAAUCCCACUUGGGCUGCUGAAGCAUGCCGUCUUACUCUGGAAAGCAUAACUAUUACAAUUAGGCGAUAAUUGGUAUUACUUCUUCAGCUGCACCUCACUCAGGAACCAUAAAUUCUUUAUGUAGCUUUAAAGCUAUGAUUAAUAAUUGCACUACUGGGAUGAAGCUCACACUCAGUGGUAGAGUCUACAGACAUUGAACACAUUUAAUAUUCUGGAAAGAAAAGGUUGUUUCCUACAAAGCCAGUAAAUGUAUCCGAAAUCUUGGAUAAAAACAGAAUGAAGAAAAUAAGUCUUGGGGAAUGUUUUUCUAUAACAAUCAAAAGUUUAGAAUCCAUUUUUGGAGAAGUAAAGUAUCAUGGACCGCUAAAAGAGAGUUGCACGGCAGGGUGGGGGAUGGGAAAUCCAGCAUCACACAUGGAUGAUGCAAUGCUGUUGAGGCAGGAUAGACAACUAAGGCUGGUCAUAGUCCUAUCGGUCAGGUCACAACCAGGUCACAGCAUAGCACUUUCCCAGCAAGACCCAAGGACCUUGAACUCAAACAAGACUCACCCUUUAGCUUUUCUCCUACCAGGUUCCUGUGAUUGUUUUUGAUAUUUUUAGUUCCUGUGGGUGUGUGUGCAUGAGUGUGGAGGCCAGAGACCAACCUCAAGUGUUGUUCCGUAGGGGCCAUCUACUCUGCUUUUGGAGACAGCAUCUCGCACUGGGAUCAACAGCUCACUGAUUACGUUAGGCUGGCUAGCCAAUGAGCCUCCCAUCUUUGCCUCCCCAUCUCCGAAACUACAAGCUGGUGUCCUUGCCUGUCUUAUUAUGUGGACUCUGGGGAUGGAACUCAGGCUGUCACAUUUGCACGGUAAGCACUCUGGACUCUGGCACCCCUCCAGCUCCAUUUCUGAGUUCCUUUAGUGCUGUGGCUGCCUGCCAGUUCUCUGAGCCUGAUGUACUACAUGAUAGUCACCAAGCCCUAUUCAUUCUAUGCUUUAGAAACCCAUCUCUUCUGUCUCCAGUCAAUUACGUCAUUUAAACUGUUACCAUGACCUAAGUGAUCUUUCAGUCCCUUCCCUCCUAGCUAAGUCUUCUACUCCGUUUGGUUCUAACACAGAUGAAACCCUGCUGCUUAGGCACAGAAUCUGCUCCUGAGGUGGCUGACCAGAUCUGCAAUUUUAGGCUGAUCUUCUUCUGUUGCUCUCAAGACCACUUGGGAUUCUUCGAACACCUCAGCCUCAUGAUACACAUGCUCCACCCUUUCCAGACAUUUACUUCUCCCUUUUUCUGCUUUCCCCUAGUUAUGAACUCAUCCCCCGCAGCUCCCACAGCCUGUGUUAGAGCAGCUAGCACACUGCUCUGCUUCUAACAAAUCCUUAGGGGUUGAAUGUUCCUGGGUACAAACCUCAGUUCCUCCUUUGUAAAAACCUAGUAACUUGCUUCCCCGUGCUCUGGUCCCUUCAUACAUAGAUACUUCCUAAUUUAUAGGUCUCCCAUCAUUAUUAAAGUUGAUGCAUAUAAAGUAUUUAGGAGGGAGCCUGGCAUAUAACAGAUGCCAAAGAACAAGUAAAAGAAGGGCCACGGAGAGAGAGAGUCUUAAAUAACCUAGACAGUCAAAGCUAGGGAACUCUGCCAAGAAUUUGGAUUAACAGUUAUAUCUUUGUUAAUCAGGAAGUCAAUUCUGUGCCAAGAUCUCCUUCCCCUGAACUCAGAUUCAGGUACAUGUAUGUAUACUUAUGAAUUUUUCAGUGUGUAAAUGGUGAAUAAGCACAUGUCCAGAUUAUCUAGGUGUUUUAUGUAAUAGAUACAUAAAAGGAAAACAGAUGCAUAUAGAAAGGUCUGGAAGGACUAGCAUGGCAGCCUGUAGAAUAUGAGUGCAAGUGUUUUCAUUUUGUGUGAGUGGAAUUUUAUGUUGAGGGAAUGCAGAGAUGGCUCAGUGAUUCGAAGCGCUUGCUGCCCCUGCAGAGGACCUGGCUUCAGUUCUUAGCACAGGACCUGGGUUCAGUUCUCAGCACCCACAUCACAUGGCUUACAAGCAUUUGUAACUCGUGUUCAGGGGAGUGGAGUGUAUGCUUUCCUCUGGUCUUCAUGAGUACCUGAACAUACUGGACACAUACAGACAAGGUAGGUAGGCAGGCAUAUCCAUCAAUAAAAAUUUAAAAAGAAAAUAUAUUUAUCGUGUAUUGCUUUUACCCAUAAGGAAAAUAACAUCAAUCAUUUAAAAAUUUUCCCCUUGGCCCCUGCAGUUGCGACAUGCAGGAGGCUAGUAGGAAAACAUGUUUUAAUCCAGGGGCCAAGGUCAAUAUUGUUCUAAAGCAGUCUGAAAAGGAAGGGCUUUGGAGGUAGAGGAAGGAGAAGGCACAGGUCCAAGUUACCUAGUGAAUUUAUAGGAAAAGGGAAUUCAGGGGAUAACUUUCAGGGCCCAGGUACCCCAUUUCCGAAUGAUGAAAUGUACUUUCGUUCCCUUUGCUGAAAGUGCCCAGCAUGGAAAGAUAGAUUCAAUUCUAGGCCUUGACUUCAUUCUCCUACCCACUUUGGGGAAAUCACAGGAACUCUCCAUUUGCUUCCUCAUCUCAUACAUGGUAAUAAGAAUAAUGGCUUCCCACAGGACUCUGCUGCCUGGGGUCAUUAGAAUGAGCUUUAAGUAUCCAGCCUGAGGCAAAGGCUUGUUCCGAUGACUCUACCAUGCCACAUACUGAGAGGCAUGUGCUUUGCCUCACAAACCCAACUUCUCUGUAAUAGUGACAACUGGAUUGCACAAGGCUGAAAGGUCGACUUUCUCCCCAUGUGCCUUUUCCAGAACCCACAGAGGAGAAAGACUCUUCAGGUCAGUUCUGCUGAGGCUGACAACUGACUGACCCCUCAGCCCAGGCCUGAGGGCUGUGUGUGGUAGGAGGCUGGAGAAGUCUGUGGAGUGUUCUGUUCUUUGCAUCUCGAGACAGACUUAGAUUCAUGAAGCAGAUAUCUCCGUUCGUGUGAGAGGCUGGAACAUAUGCUUGCUUGCUUGCUUGCUUGCCUGAGGGGCUGUGAAUCAAAGGAUGCGUACGGCAGCAUUUGCUUCUCCUUGCCAUCUGGUUUCGGCUUCUCCCGCACCAGGCUGUACAAGCCCUGACACCUGUUAUCGAUCCUCCAGCUGAUCAAAAGAGUUGAGCUACCUGUGCUUGAAAUGUCAAAAGUGAUACAGAGAGCUGGGAUUUUACAGUCUCUUGAGGUAAGAGCAGGCUCUCAGGGACUCAUGAAGAAGCUGUGUGACUCAGACUGUAGAGUGAGUGGCACUCCCUAGCUUCUCCAUUCGCUCCCCUCAUUUCAAUGUACAUGCCAACCAACACUCCAUUUUUAAGACUCAGAGUUGGAAGAGACUACAGAGCUUCCCUUACCCAACCAGGCUCACUUGACAGACGAUGAAAAGUAUAUCCUAAGAGAUGGCACAUCAUGCCAAAUACCAUAUGGUGAAUCAACUCCAACAGAAGAAAAGAAUAACAAAAGCUCACAGAAGAAGUUGGGUCCAUGCCCGUAUCAUGCCCAGGCAUCUGGCCAAAGCAAUUAAUCCUGUGAAAAAUAAUUCUAAAAAACCCAUAGCUUUAUGUGGAAAUUAAAAAAAAAAUACUAAUGUUUGAUCCCCUCCUCUGUGCAUGAAAUUCUGUUCUCUUGCUUGGGGAUUGGCAUUCCUCGAGUACCAUAGACCGCUGUAGUCUGCAGCUGGGAGUGAGAGCCUCAUAGAGUAUAUCGGGAAAACCAGUGGAGCCCAAAGACACAAGAAUGAGUCUGGGCCUUUUCCAGAUCAUCAGUGUGGCCCUGGGCAAGUUGCUUAACUGCUUCUAUCUCAUGUACCCAUUAAUCCUUAGGUCACACAAAACCGAAGUCGAGAUGAAGCAAUGUUCAUGAAAGUGUCUUGCAAACUCUGAAGUGCUGUUGCCCUGGGAGUCCAGACCCUUUAGGGACAGGCGGCGGAACACUUUCCUAGAACUUCUUUUUGAUAUUCAGUCAUUGAAUCCGACUCUGUCAAGUUACUGAGUUUUUACUAGAAAAGGAAUAUUAUGUUAGGUGCUGGUCACAUGACCUUCUACAAAGGUGAAGAUUGAUUACAUCCCUUGGAAGGGGAAGUGGACAUUUGAAUAAGUAGUUAUGAUGAUAAGAAAUAUGGCCACAGAUGAGAACAAAGGAAGAGGUGCCAUGGCUGUGGGACCGAGAUCAGAAAGGAGACAAGAGUCUGCCCAGUCAGUUUUGGGUGGUAAAUACCUGGGAGGGCUGUCCCAAGCUGAGCGUUACACAGGUACCAGGGUGUGCUUGGGGCUGGCUGAGGCCCAGGUAGGGCAGGUUAUCGUUCCAUGUACGAAGGAAGAAAAGCCAUUGUUUCAGAAGAAAGGAAAAACGAACAUUUCUGGCAGGUUUAAAAACCAAACAACUUUACAAAGAUCAGAAUGAUGGAAUUAGCUUUUAGAGACUUAGUUGGCUCUUCCUCCCAGCCACAGGUAAAUGGAAUUUCAAAGUUACGCAGACUGAAGCCCGUUAUUGGCCCCGGACUGAGCAAAGUUAUCAGGUGACCGAAGAAAAGAAACAAUUAGAAACAAUUAGAAACUUUCCUGAUUUAAAGGAAAAUGAAUGGGAAAUAAGUGUGCAGGGACUUAACACAUCUAUAGAGUGUGUUUUUUUUUUUUUUUCUCGCUCCUUUUAAGUGUUUCUAGCAGCCUUGACACUUAUAAGACUUAAAAAUAAUUAGGAAUAGUUGGGGUUUCAGACUCUGGAAAAGCUUAUAAGAAAUGCCUAGUGAGGAGCAUCAAGUAACACAGCAGACAGGAAAGGUUGAAGAGCUUCAAGCCCAUUAGAAUUUAAAGUGGUAGGUCUCCGAAUCCCAAAUGCUCCUUUAAAAAAAUGUGGUGUCUCUUUAAGAGCCAUUUGGUGCAUUUCAUAGCCUGAUUCAUGUCACCAGCUGCCUCUGAUUUCAGUGAGAAAUGCAGAAUUUAUAGGGAACUGUAAAAUGGGGACAGGUUUCUAGUUUUCUAAAUUGAGGUUUAACUGGCAAACUUCUGAAGACUCAAGAAACCACAAGCGAGGCUGUGAGGAACUGUUUUCUUUUCCGGUCAGGAAAAAAAAUAUAAACACACAAACACAUUAUCUAACUCUCAAAGUCUUGGGAGAAAGAAGUCACUGCUCUUUGCGGAGUAGCAAAAAGGAAGAAUCAGUCUUGUGGGCAGGAGGAGGAGGAGGAGGAUCACAUUGGCCAGUAGGCAGCACCCUGUGCUGGCAGAAAGAGAAAUCUGAGCCUCAGCCGCGCCAGGAACAGGCUUUGCACAAACUAUCUGGUUUCAAGUUGCGAGUCUCCGGAGUCCCUGAAAAGGUGCCCCGGGAACAGGACUCCCUUUGCAGGGCCCCGAGGAUUGAUGAGAAUCCCCCAUCCCCAACCACCCAGAGGAUAAGCAGGUGUGGAAAUGAUGGCUUAGCAAGAUUAUAUGACUGGCCCAGGCAUCCAGAUAACCACCAGCACUCCCCGAGGCCAUUGCCACUUCAAGCCAGCUGUUAGAAUGUGUGCUAACCCUGUCCCCACUCAUUCCUUCCAGCACCUUGUUCCGGUCAGUGGUGGCAUUCUAACUCCACUUUCCAAUAAAGAAACUACCCAGAGAAGGUGGUCAUACACCUAGGAAGGGAGGAAGGAAUCUAUCUCUCGUGGGUUCUAUGACACCACAUCUCAGUAACAUAUCAUAGUGCACGUGGCGUUUGCAAACCACGCACAUCCACUGACAGAGAAAUUCAGUUUUGAACCAUUUCAAGAGCUUUAGACACUGAUCCAGACUUCAGCUGUGAUCUGUGUUUUCUGACCAAACUGCUGUGCUUCUUUCUGAUCCUUGUUCUCUGUCUCCUUGUUCUCUGACUGCAAGCUGUAACAAGGCACGAGUGUGAGGGCUGCUUUUCAGUCAGGCAGCAGGCUACCUGCCACUUGAAUCAAGGUGCCAAACACAUUCCCCACCCUGCGAUAGCUCUCCUUGACAUACUUUUGGGGAGCAAAGAUUUGACAUUUACUGUCAUCCCUGUCCAUCUUUCCUCCAAGUUCUCCAUUUCAGCUCUCCUGAGUGCCAGCCCUGUGUGAUUGGCAUGUUUGUGAGGCUCUGGCUGAUAAUGUAGUAAGAGUGUGUGUGAUGAGGAGGAAGGUCUGAACGCAGGCAUUGCCUGAGAGAAACGUUCCCUGUUGCAGGCAGGACAAGAAAGAAAAGCCUGUAAAAUCUCCAUUAAGUAGACUGUCAGGCUCUUUAGACAUCAAAUAGCCCUCACAAAACAACAUUUUAAUGAUUUAAGUGUAAAUGAAUCAGAAACACAUGGGCUGCAUUGCUUUUGGAAUACACAGGGUUUUCAAACCAAAGGAGAAAGAACUUGGCAAGAUGUACCCAGUGCUCAGUGGCCUUGCCCAAGGAAGGAGUCCGGCAAUUCUCCCUGCAGUUGAGUCCACCCUCUCUGGAGUUAGUGUAUGUUAAAGAAAGACGUUCAUUCUGGAUCUGGGCACAGAGGGAAGGGUUUACAAAGGAAAGCCUUACGCUGCCCCUUGUAAAGUGUCACAGAGAGCAAUUAGGUCUCUGGGAAUAGCUUCCUGCUCUCGCUUUUUAAAGACUGCCAAUGAUCAAUGGGAGACAUUUGAAGGAUAUUCUGAGCUAACAUUCUGGCAAUUUGCAGCAGAUCUGGUAGAUGCCUUCCUUAGGAGUCAGCCAAGGCUCGGCUGGAGUUGCUGGAAUGCAUACAGCCACUGAGGUGCAAUGGAGGCUCUGGUGACUUCUGCAGCUGCCCCCUGGCCUGCACUAUGUUUUUGAGGUGCCAUUGGAAGCCGGAAGAGACCCUCAGAUCUACUGGGGCUGGAGCUACAGGUAGCCAUGGAUUGCCCCACGUGGAUUCUGGGACUGAAUUCCAGUUCUCUACGAAAGCAGUAAGUGCUCUCGAUUGUCAAUUAUGUUCCGGCCUGGCACCUUCUGGCAAACUGUCUGAAGGAUGUACCUAUAACUACCUCAUUUCUGGAUCCCACGAGGAGACGUUUGUAAUGCUUCACACAUUCUGUAGUUCUUCGCAGUUCUUCACAGCCUGUAUACUGUCAUCUCACUAAAAGAAUGUCUGCAUGAAUACUGUUGGGGGAAAAUAACGACUUGAACACUUUAGAAAGCCCUUCUUGGACCCAGGCUCAACCUUAGACCGAUGCUCUCCGCACUCCCCUGAAGAGACACCUGAACUUUUCUGCAAGAAUUUUCUAAGCCCCCAUGGGUGCUGCUAUCCAUUGCACAUGUAGGAGGUGGGAAGCUCAUCCACACAGGGUUGUAGGAACUGACCCUUCUGAGAUUGUCCUUGGAGAGAUCUAGAGCCAAUCUCUAUGUGCUGGAAACACAUCCUGUCUAUACUGCUGAGCCGAGCACAGAAUACUCUUUGUGCUCCCUUGUUUGAUGCUGGAUUCCUCCUUCCAGUAGGUGUUCACUUUAGCAACUAAGGGCAUGGCUGAACGAAUGAACUCCAGGUAGGUGUGUGUCACAGAGCAAUCUUCAUUCAACAGCAGCUUUGUUGCUAGGACACAAGGAUAGCCAGUCUGGCCAGUCAGACACAAAGCCAAGAAGUGUGUGCCUUGCUGAGGGAAAGAGACCCUAAAAGCUGACAUGGGUGGGUACACCAGAGUAAGUCUCUGGAACUGGGGCAAUGGUAACUCUUAAGUUCUGUGAGUCCUGGGGCCCUGUGGCAACCUGUCUUCGCAGCUCUGACUUACUGUGUUCCUGAGUGAGCUGAGAGAAAUUCAAUUCAUGCGUUCCUGGGCAAUUUAUAUGAUUUUCAGCAAAAUGCCACAGUCAUGUAUUAGCCACUGGAUGUCAACGGUAAUGCUUUCUUUGUUCCUUUUGGAACUCAGUCCCCGAUGGGAAGCCAGCUGGUCCAUUACCGGACAAUGAGCAAGAGCAGGGGGCACAGUGUCCGAGGGUGGUGUCUGCCAGAGCACUGCAGUGUCCAGUGAGAAGUGGGAGAGGUCAUGAGCUGCCAGCUCUGCCAAGCAGGCUGGCAGGACCUGGGAGAGGUGCAAACAGCUUGGGGAUUCGAAGGAGCUGUGAGGCUUCUGGUGCAGAGGAGAACAGGGAUCACGAGGUAAACACUAGGCUUGCUUCUUGUUCAGCUUUGGUAAGUUAACUUUCUCCCCUAGGCCUUGUCUACCUCUUCUGCAGAAUGCCUUACUGGAACCCAUGAUCUCUGUGGACCCAGAUAGACUAUUAACUUAUUUUAACGAGACUUCGGUGUCUCACUAUGAAUAUUAUUUGGUGCUGCCUAAAUAAAUGUUUUUCCAAGAAAUA
rnacentral:sRNA from 1 species